rnacentral:lncRNA from 1 species
GCCAGAUAAGGGAAGCAGGCCUCCGAAGCCAGCAGUGGCAACCCACUUGGGUCCCUUUCAAUGCUGUGGAAGCGUUGUUCUUUCACUCUUCUCAAUAAAUCUUGCUGCUGCUCACUCUUUGGGUCUGCCCCGCUGUUAUGAGCUGUAACACUCACAGCCAGUGUCUGCAGUUUCACUCCUGAAGCCAGCAAGACCACAAACCCACAGGGCGGGACAAACAACUCCGGACAGGAGGAAUGAACAACUCUGGACGCGCCACUUCUAUGAACUUUUAUGAACUGUAACACUCACCGCAAAGGUCUGCAGCUUCACCCCUGAGGCCAGGGAGACCACGAACCCACCGGAAGGAAUGAACAACUCCAGACGCACUGCCUUUAAGAGCUGUAACACUUACCACGGAUGUCUGCAGCUUCACUCCUGAAGUCAGCGAGACCACAAACCCAACAGAAGGAAGAAACUCCCGACACAUCUGAACAUCUGAAGGAACAAACUCUGGACACACCAUCUUUAAGAACUGUAACACUCACCGUGAGGGUCAACCGCUUCAUUCUUGAAGUCAGCCAGACCAAGAACCCACCAAUUCCGUCUAUCUGAAUCAUGUUAUUGGACCAUGAGAGCAAGCAGCUGGAUCUCAUUCUGUCCAGUGACAGGGUCUCACUCUGUCACCGAUGCUGGAGUACAGUUGCAAAAGAUCAUCGCUCACUGUAGCCUUGACCUCCUGGGCACAAGCCAUGCUCUACCGGAGCCACUGCCCCUAGUUAUGGUUCCUGUGUCACACUGAUGCAAGAGAUGGGAUACCAUGGCUUUGGGAAGCUCCACUCCUAUGGCUUGGCAGCGUACAGCCUCCCUUCUGGCUGCUUUCACAGGUUGGUGUUGAGUGCAGCUUUUCCAGGGAACAGUGGCUCAUGCCUGUAAUCCCAGAACUUUGGGAGGCCCAGACGAGCGGAUCACCUAGGUCAGGAGUUGAGGCCAGCCUGGUCAACAUGGCAAAACCUCAUCUCUACUAAAAGUACAAAAAUUAUCCGGGCGUGGUUGUGGGCACCUGUAUUCUCAGGUACUUGGGAGACUGAGGCAGCAGAAUCGCUUGAACCCAGGAAGCAGAGGUUGCAGUGAGCCGAGAUCAGGCUGCUGCACUCUAGCCUGUGUGAUAGAGUGAGUGAGACUGUGUCUCAAAAAACAAAAAACAAAACAAAAAAACUUUCAAUUUAUUUUCCAGAGGUCUAUUUUUAAUUUAGUAACAAGAUUUUAAAAAAUAUAUAUAAAAUUAAAUAACAGUAGAAAGUUAGAACUAGGCCCUAUAAAAUAUAAAAUUGUCAAAAUUGGUUAGCAUGAUUGUAGCUUCAAGGAUCAUAUUGUUAAUGUGACAACUUCUGAAACCAAACAUCAUCAUGCUUGGCAUCAAGAGCUAAAGUAGUCAUGAGUUAAUGGAGAAGAACAACUAAGGAAUUGGCUGGUGAAGUAAAGUUUAUGCUAAAUUUAAUUGAAAUGAAAUAACAAAGCAGUUUGAAACGAACAUUCCAUUGAUUAUUUUUAAAAUUUUAUUUAUUAACAAAAUAGCUUAUACUAACUGCCCACUCUCUAUCCCAAUAGUCACAGCAAUAACAUAUAGUUAACAUUUGUAAUUAAAUAUUUCAUUUCAUACAAAUAGUAUUUUAAAAUUCAAGUGUUGAUUUUUAAGCCUUUGAAUGUUUGGCUGUUUAAAAUUUAAGUGCAUAUAAAAAAUUGUAGAAAAGGGUCAUUAUUAAUAAAAUAUUCAAAAUAUGGUAAAUUAUGCAUGAUGAUUUAAUAUAUGCAAAUUGACAAGUGAUGUGAAUAGUACAUUUGAAUAGAGAAAAUAUGUACAUAAAUGAAUGGUAUUUCAGAAUCUAAGCAAAUUGAUGACUCCAUUAUGUACUUGUCCCCAAUGUAAAUGAAAUAUUAAUUAGAAAACUUUUUUUUCACUAAAGGGCUGAACAUAAAGUGUGAUGGCAAAUUGGUGUGUUCUUGUAUUUCUUGUCUUUAAGAAUUCUUUUCAAUAUAUUUUCACUUAAUGUUUUAGCAACACUUUUCAUCAUCCUUUUACACUUAUAGCUGGACUAUGCUUAGUGAUAGAAAAUAGUUAUAUAAUGGGAUUAUACUUGGCCAUAUGAAUUUGACGGUAUGAGUUAAUCUAUGUUUCAUCUUACUUGUGUCUACUUGUAAGUCAUUGAUGCUAAUGUUAUUAGUAAUUUUUAUUGGGUAGAAAUAUUUUCUAUAUGACAUUUUUGAGAAAAAGAAGUCAAUAAAUCCCAUUUGAUAUGCAACAGAAAUAAAGAUCUCUUAUUUCAAUUUUAAAAUGCUUUAUAACUUACAUUGCUUUGUUUUAUGCAGUAUUUGUUUUGAUCAGAUGCAAAAUGAGCCAGUAAUGGCAUCUAACCACAAGUUUGAUAUAUUUUUUUAAAGAAAAAUUUCCAAAAUACUAUAACUGAGCAAUAGGCUAAUACUUCAUAAAUUAAAAUAUUUAAAUAUUCAAUCUUUCUGAGUGGAUAUUUGUUGCAUAUCUGAUAACUUGGCCUAAUUCUGUAAUUGGGAUGAGAACUACCCAAUUUUAUUGGUAACCUCUUUUCUGCUCUGCAACUUUGGAAAUAAUAUGGAGGACUUCAAAUUCAUUUGAGACAAAAAUAUUAAAAAUGUAACCCCUGAUUAGGAUUUCAGUUCCAAAGCUCUCCUUGGAGGGAUAUAGAGCUGGAGACAAUCAAUCACAUUUAUUUUUCAUCUCCUUAAUAUUGAUAUAUAAAAGUCAGGUUAAAAUUAGUAUCAAAAUGGGAAGCCUGCAUUGUAAACUGGCUGGAAUAAUACACUCUGCAAUAUGAAGGAAAAAGGAAAAAUUUAGUUGAUUCAUUUACUUAACUAUAAUUUUUUAAAGAAUUUUAAGUUUCUAAUAAAUUUAACUAUAAAUUUUUAAUUUUCUAUCUUUCAUUUAGUACCAUCUAUAUAAACUUUUCCAGGCUACUUCUCUGAAUCACCUGGCAAAAUCUUAUAAUUUACCACCUAACUGAAUAAAACACACACACACAAAAUAAUCUAUUUUUAAUAAUAAACAUCAUUUAUAAUUACGUUGUUGAGAUUGAGAGUAAUCAUCAGGUGUGGAAAAACUGAGGAAAUUUUAACAAUUUAAAAUGUAAUAAUCUUUUUUGUAUUAUGUGUGUUUUAUACUCAGAAGUGCAUAUGUUUUAUAAAAUUAUGUGAAUUUAUAAGUGUGGUCAAUAUUAAUAUUAAAUUGUAUCUUUUAAUAGUA